GUAUGUUGUUUAUUGUUAAUUCUGGUGAUAGGUUGCAUAUAAAAUUUAUUUAAAGAAAUCUUUAUGUCGUUAAGAAUUUUAAUAUUUUCUGUGUAGUAUAUACUAUAUUGCUAUACCAUAAGCAAUACUAAUUGCUUGUAGUAUAAGAAACAGUAUAUUGCUUCUAAUUAUAGAGUCACCUUCCCACUACAGUUUUGACAAAUUUUUAAUUCUGUUUUCUUCUGGACUUCAUAGUAUUAAAGGUUUUUAAGAUUUUAAAUCAAACAAAAUUAAUUUUAAUGUAUAGUAUAAGGUGUGGAUCUAAAUUCUUUCCUUCCCUCUCAAAUUGUUGGUCAGUUAUCCCUCCAUCAUUUAUUGAAAAUAUUUGACCAGGCAUGGUGACUCACAUCUGUAAUCCCAGCACUUUGUGAGGCCGAGGCGGGUGGAUCACCUGAGGUCAGGAGUUCAAGACCAGUCUGGCCAACAUGAAGAAACACCAUAUCUACUAAACAUAGAGAAAUUAGCCGGGGGUGAGACCAGGCGUGGUGGCU